UAACUAAUGCAGGACGUGCGGUGCUUAGUACAUGCGAGUUCAGAGCCGAACAAGUUGAAAUGCCUAGACUUUCAUGCAGGUUAGCAGGCGGACGGGUGAGUAACACGUGGUGUAACCUGCCCUAUAGACUGGGAUAACUCGCGGAAACGCGUGCUAAUACCGGAUAACACAUCAAAGUGCAUGCUUUGAUGUUGAAAGAUGGUUCUGCUAUCACUAUAGGAUGGGCCCGCGGCGCAUUAGCUUGUUGGUGGGGUAACGGCCUACCAAGGCGACGAUGCGUAGCCGACCUGAGAGGGUGAUCGGCCACACUGGGACUGAGACACGGCCCAGACUCCUACGGGAGGCAGCAGUAGGGAAUCUUCCACAAUGGGCGAAAGCCUGAUGGAGCAACGCCGCGUGAGCGAAGAAGGUCUUCGGAUCGUAAAGCUCUGUUGUAAGGGAAGAACAAGUGCAGUAGUAACUGGCUGCACCUUGACGGUACCUUACUAGAAAGCCACGGCUAACUACGUGCCAGCAGCCGCGGUAAUACGUAGGUGGCAAGCGUAGUCCGGAAUCACUUGGGGCGUAAAGGCGCGCGCAAGGCGGAUCUCUUUAAGUCUGAAUGGUGAAAAGGGCCACACCGGGCUUAAGCCCAGGGGGAAGGGGUCCCAUUUGGGCAAACACCUUGGGGGAAGGACUUUGGACGU
rnacentral:rRNA from 1 species